rnacentral:ncRNA from 2 species
UAGAAAUGAAGAGGCGCAUCUCUUAGGUAAUUUACUGGAAGAUUUUUGGAUCUAGCGAAAGUAAGUGAUGGAAGAUUUGCCGAAAUAGGGCCUUGCCAAAGAAAGGUGCUAUUGGUUGCUAGGGCUGAAUCCCUAGGACUGUCACAGGCAAUGUGGAGUACUUCUAGAAUC